rnacentral:sRNA from 1 species
CGCCUCCCUCUGUCCCAUCCUGUCCCGUCCCCGUCUCUCUGUCCUGUCCGUAUCCCAUUUCACGUCCCAGUUCACUGGUUGGUUCCUGGUUCCGGUUUUGGUUUUGGGUUUGGUUUUGUCGCAUCGCGUCUCAAAGUUUGGACCCUUGUAACCUGGUAUGAUUUCCUCGAAGCAAGCAAGCAAUUGAUCUCUCUAUCUUGGGAUUAUUGGAGGUUCUCAUUGGAGAGGCCACGGGCUCGCAAUCCAUGUCGAUGGUUUUUUCCCCGUAUUCACUGGUAGUUAGACAUCGCGUCAAACCAAACGCGCCCGCUCCACUGCACGACUUCCCACACAAGUUGCCAAUCCUUUGGCAUCGUUUCUUGAAACAAGAACACCAGUUUAAAUAAUCCAUUAGUC